GUAGUCGUGGCCGAGAGGUUAAGGCGAUGGACUCGAAAUCCAUUGGGGUUCUCCCCGCGCAGGUUUCAAACCCUGCCGACUACG